UUCGCGCCCGUGCCUUCUUUCAGGUCGAGUUGGAGGAGGUGGCUUGUAGAUUUCUCCCGUAAGUCGCGGGCGCGAGGUGCUCCUUAGGGUCGCUUAGCCCCGCGGGCCGGUCCAGCCUCCGCAGCCAGCCUCGACCCGAGUUACGCACUGCGCGGCCCCCUGUCUCCCCGCCCCGCCCUUCCGAGGGGGGACGCGGGGCCCCAGACUUCCAAGACCCCGCAGGACCGUCGGUGGGCCGGUGCGGACCUUGAGCAGAAAGAACCUUCACCCCGGAGGCCGCGGGCAGGAGGCCUGGUAAGGAGGCCGUCCGGGUCUGGGGUGCUGACCAAUAAAGCAAAGAUGAUGAA